rnacentral:rRNA from 1 species
AAAUUGAAGAGUUUGAUCAUGGCUCAGAUUGAACGCUGGCGGCAGGCCUAACACAUGCAAGUCGAGCGGUAGCACAGAGAGCUUGCUCGGGUGACGAGCGGCGGACGGGUGAGUAAUGUCUGGGAAACUGCCUGAUGGAGGGGAUAACUACUGGAAACGGUAGCUAAUACCGCAUAAUGUCGCAAGACCAAAGUGGGGACCUUCGGGCCUCAUGCCAUCAGAUGUGCCCAGAUGGGAUUAGCUAGUAGGUGGGUAAUGGCUCACCUAGGCGACGAUCCCUAGCUGGUCUGAGAGGAUGACCAGCCACACUGGAACUGAGACACGGUCCAGACUCCUACGGAGGCAGCAGUGGGGAAUAUUGCAAUGGGCGCAAGCCUGAUGCAGCCAUGCCGCGUGUGUGAAGAAGGCCUUCGGGUUGUAAAGCACUUUCAGCGGGGAGGAAGGCGGUGAGGUUAAUAACCUUGUCGAUUGACGUUACCCGCAGAAGAAGCACCGGCUAACCCGUGCCAGCAGCCGCGGUAAUACGGAGGGUGCAAGCGUUAAUCGGAAUUACUGGGCGUAAGCGCACGCAGGCGGUCUGUCAAGUCGGAUGUGAAAUCCCCGGGCUUAACCUCGGGAACUGCAUUCGAAACUGGCAGGCUAGAGUCUUGUAGAGGGGGUAGAACCGUGUGUAGCGGUGAAAUGCGUAGAGAUCUGAGGAAUACCGGUGGCGAAGGCGGCCCCUGGACAAAGACUGACGCUCAGGUGCGAAAGCGUGGGGAGCAAACAGGAUUAGAUACCCGUAGUCCACGCCGUAAACGAUGUCGAUUUGGAGGUUGUGCCCUUGAGGCGUGGCUUCCGAGCUAACGCGUUAAAUCGACCGCCGGGAGUACGGCCGCAAGGUUAAAACUCAAAUGAAUUGACGGGGGCCCGCACAAGCGGUGGAGCAU